UACGUAGGUGGCAAGCGUUGUCCGGAUUUACUGGGCGUAAAGAGCGCGCAGGCGGUCGUUCAAGUCGCGUGUGAAAGCCCCCGGCUCAACUGGGGAGGGUCACGCGAUACUGAUCGACUCGAAGGCAGGAGAGGGUAGUGGAAUUCCCGGUGUAGUGGUGAAAUGCGUAGAUAUCGGGAGGAACACCGGUGGCGAAGGCGGCGACCUGGGUUGACACUGACGCUGAGGCGCGAAAGCGUGGGGAGCAAACAGG
rnacentral:rRNA from 1 species